GGCCGCCUACGGGACGCAGCAGUGGGGAAUAUUGCACAAUGGGGGAAACCCUGAUGCAGCAACGCCGCGUGAGUGAAGAAGUAUCUCGGUAUGUAAAGCCCUAUCAGCAGGGAAGAAAAUGACGGUACCUGACUAAGAAGCCCCGGCUAAAUACGUGCCAGCAGCCGCGGUAAUACGUAUGGGGCAAGCGUUAUCCGGAUUUACUGGGUGUAAAGGGAGCGUAGGCGGCCUGGCAAGCCUGAUGUGAAAUACCGGGGCCCAACCCCGGGGCUGCAUUGGGAACUGCCAGGCUGGAGUGCCGGAGG
rnacentral:rRNA from 1 species